rnacentral:rRNA from 1 species
AUGUGGGAAACCACGAUGCGGGAAACCCAAGUGCCAGCACUAUGUGUUGGCUGUCCUCAACUGUUCGUAAGUUGGGAAGAAAGUGCUGGGUAAGACGGGUGCCAGCCGCCGCGGUAAUACCCGCAGCACAAGUGGUGGUCAUUAUUAUUGGGCCUAAAGCGUCCGUAGCUGGUUUGUUAAAUGCCUGGGUAAAUCGAUGCGCUUAACGUAUCGAACUCCGGGUAGACUGGCAAACUCGAGACCGGGAGAGGCAUGGGCUACUCGCGGGGUAGGGGUAAAAUCCUGUAAUCCUGCGGGGAGGACCAGUGGCGAAGGCGCCAUGCUAGAACGGCUCUGACAGUGAGGGACGAAGCCCUGGGGCGCAAACCGGAUUAGAUACCCGCGUAGUCC